GCUCAGUAGCUUUCGAAAAACCCCACUGGCGAAGUGAAUCAAAAGUGUCAAGAAUAAGAUGCGACUCCCUGUCUGAAACAAUUUUAGUUAUGAUUUGUUGAAUUUGAACGAAAAAACGGGUUUUAGUUUUUGAAUAUUGCUUAUGAUUGAACGAUAGAUUUUUAGAAAGAUGUUCGAAGUAAUAUAGAAUAUAUUUUAUCAAUUGAAAUUUUGCAAAUUGUUAUAGCAGCAAAUUUUAAACCAAUCAUUGCGCCAUUCAGGAAAAACUUACACUCAAAAUAAUCCAAACGUCAUUGCUAGGUGAAAAAUCACGUAGAUCAAUCCAAAUUCAUUCUACCUUGACUUUACCUGACUAAUGUAAUAGUCACCGGUCCAUAAAUAAACAUCAAAUGGAGAGCCGGUCAUUUUCACUGUGGUAAUCCUAUCACACUUACGUGAAAAUCAUCUAGGCACUUAGUUCAUUCUGACGCGAGUUUUGACAUUUGCACCUUGCGUUCAUUCUGUGUUGAGCUCAAAUGGGCAGAUAGUACCCGCCAUUUUUUUCAAGAAAUUUCUCGGAUUUUAAUGUUUCAAUCAAUCGAUUUCAAGGUAAAUAUGCUUUAGAUUCGAAUAAUCUCGUAUUAAUGAAACAGUUAUUAAUUAUGGCAGUGUUUUGUGAAACUUCAAGCAGCAAGAUACGACUCGCUAACUGUAAACAGUUUUGGAUUCUGGUACCGGACGGAUUGUUUAGUCAAAUGGGAAACUUGAGUUUAAAUAUUCGAAUGAAACCGUAUCAUAACGCCGAUGCUUGUACUACGACCUCUGAGAUCAAAGCACUUAUUGGGGCAAACGAAAUCAAACAGUAGUGUUCUAAUUCUCCUACAUACUGUUAAGCUUUGUUGAAUAAACUGAUACUGGAUAGUGAUUGAAUGUGA